UCUCUGUCCUUUUAGGGAAGCCCUCACCCCCCUCCCUCUCUCCGAGGACCACCGGCUCUUCCCUUCGUGUGUCUAUAGCCCACCUUCUUUUCCUCCAUGGCUCACCCUCCCUCUCAGAACCAAUCUCUCCUCCCCUUCUCUCCAGGGAGCACCUUCUCUCUAGUGCCCUCCCUUUCCAGGGACCACCCAGUCACCCUCCCUCCAAGAACAGCCUACCCUCCCUCCCUUCCUGGGACCACCCUCUUUUUCCCCUCCCUCUACCAUCCUCUCCCUCCUUCCAGGGACCACCCUCUCCCUUCCCCUCCCCUUCCCCCACCCUCCACUACCCCCUCUCCCGUCUUCCACAGACCACCCCAUCCCUCCCCUCCCCUCCGGCUGUCCGUGUCCUCCCUCCUAGAGAUCUCAGAGCUGCGGCUGAAGACCUGCGGCUGGAGACCUGCGUGGCGUGUCGCGUCUCCACCCGUCCGGUGCCGGUGCCGUAUCCUUCCCCCAAAGCCUCACAACCCCGCCCCACCCGCAAGAUCCCGCUGCUGCCUGGACCGGUGACCAUGGCCGGGUUUUCCCAGUGUGGCGGAGACACCAGGUGUGCUAGAUUGUAACGGGGACCCCCCCACACCCGUCUCAGAGAACGGCCUCGUCCAUGGAUCGGCCCCCUCUCCGGACCUCGACACACCGCAGCGCUCGUGACUGUUAGCUGGCCGAGUUCCCAAAAGAAGAUCGCUUCGGGCUUCCCGGUAGCAGGCAAUCGUUGUUGCCGACCUGCUGACC